AAAAAUUUAGUUAAAUAAUAACGUUAGCUUGUCAAGCUAAAAUCAUCUUAAGAUAAUUUUUA
rnacentral:tRNA from 1 species